GGUGACCGCUGUUGUGCAACACUGGAGAUUGCUGACCACCGAAUGGCGGCUGUUGCUACUAGAACUUGCCUAUUGGUGUUGUUAUUUUGAUUAUAGGUUAUGUUCAGUUCGAAGUAAUUCGUACGAUUUGUCUUGACAAUUUUGUCCUUCAAAAAAGUGUUUUAAAAAAAAGGAAUACUUUUAUUGCUGUAUUUACAACUGUAUCUACGAAAUCUCAAACACACAUAAUACAAAUACAAUAAUACAUAAUACAUGUCUACAAUUACAACAGUAGAAGGAUUUCGAAAAUUGGGCAGAUUGAAGUGCUAGUGUUUUUCCUGUGAAACGAAAAUGUGCUGAUGAACGAAUGAAACAAGAAGGUGACAACGAACUUUCAACUCAUGAUUCCAGCUCAUUCCUAAAAAAGAAAAUAAAGCAUGAACCAGGGCAAAAGUAGACACGGCUUCAUAUGAAAUUUUCUUGUGAUGAAACAUGUUUCCUAUUUGAUAUGCUCAAUGUACGGUCGCCCGCUCGUUGAAUCUCUACCGUCAAAAUUAAUAUUUGAUCAGGCCACUCUCUGCAGUCCCGGAAUGAAUUACAUUAAAUAG
rnacentral:lncRNA from 1 species